UCCUACCAAAUCCUGAUGAACUCCGAAUGCCGUAAUAUAUACUCUGCAGUGAGGGCUAGGGUGCUAAGGUCCUAGUCCGAGAGGGAAAGAACCCAGAUCUGCAGCUAAGGUCCCAAAGUAUAUGCUAAGUUGAACUAAGGCGGUUCAGUUGCUGAGACAGCAAGGAGGUUAGCUUGGAAGCAGCCAUUCCUUUAAAGAGUGCGUAACAGCUCACUAGUCGAGCGAUUGGGCGUGGAUAAUAAUCGGGCAUAAAAUAUACUACCGAAGCUAUAAGAUCGAAAGAUCGGUAGGGGAGCAUUCUAACAACGCCGAAGGUGUACCGUCAGGUAUGCUGGAGUGGUUAGAAAAGAAAAUGUAGGCAUAAGUAACGAUAAAGCGGGCGAGAAACCCGCUCACCGAUAGACUAAGGUUUCCUGAGCGACGCUAAUCGUCUCAGGGUUAGUCGGGACCUAACGCGAACCCGAAGGGGGUAGUGGAUGGACAAUGGGUUAAUAUUCCCAUACUUGUUGUAACUGCGAUGGGGUGACGGAGUAAUGAAAGGUCUGCGCACUGACGGAAUAGUGCGUUAAAGCGUGUAGCUAUAGGUUGAAUAGGUAAAUCCGUUCGACUU
rnacentral:rRNA from 1 species